CCUACGGGAGGCUGCAGUGAGGAAUAUUGGUCAAUGGGCGGAAGCCUGAACCAGCCAAGUAGCGUGCGGGAUGAAGGCCCUACGGGUCGUAAACCGCUUUUGCACGGGGAUAACACCCUCCACUUGUGGAGGUCUGCAGGUACCGUGCGAAUAAGGGCCGGCUAAUUCCGUGCCAGCAGCCGCGGUAAUACGGAGGGCCCGAGCGUUAUCCGGAUUUAUUGGGCUUAAAGGGAGCGUAGGCGGGCGUUCAAGUCAGCUGUAAAAUCGCGGGGCUCAACCGCGCCCCGCAGUUGAAACUGGACGCCUUGAGUUGCCAACAGGCAGGCGGAAUUCGUGGUGUAGCGGUGAAAUGCAUAGAUAUCACGAGGAACCCCGAUUGCGAGGG
rnacentral:rRNA from 1 species